UGGAAAUCAGCUAGACUGAUUUAAAGCAAUUGAGGAUCUGGCCACUCUCCUAUGUGACCUGUUUGACUUGUGGAUCUUAUAAAAUGCAACAGAGGCCUGGCCACAGAGAGAUGUCAUCAAAAGAGAGAAAGCAAGAAGACCCAGAGAAAGGAGCAAGCACACGGCUUCUGGGAGUACGCUGCUGGGGAGAGAAAUUGUGCAAGUAGGAAAGAAAAUUAAUGGCAAAGAGCAUCAGCACUCUUACAUGUGGCCAGACUGUGCGUACACCACCAUCACCCACCCCCUCUAGAGCAACUGAACAUGCUGCACCCAGAAGCUGGAUUUUCCCUGUAAUAGCUGCUGUCAGCUGUUCCAGACUGGGAUGGAACCAGGCACUGGAUCUAAGAGUGGGAAGCCUGUCCCUGCAGUGCUCCGUAUAUACACACACACACACUCUCUCUCUCUCUCUCUCUCUCUCUCUCUCUCUCUCUCCUGCCACCCAAGCAACAUGGAGCCGGAAACCAUCUGAUUUGAAUGCAUAAGGGACAUGAGCCUAAACAGGGGGAGGGACAGGAUUAGAUCAGGUCAAAGAGUCUGGGUCGAUGGGAUUGGAAGGGAGGGGAGAUGCUGACUGAGAAUGGGGGGAAGAUUUAAGAUCGCUUGGUUAAGGAGACUGUAAACCAUGUGAUGGUGAGUCUGGGAGCUGGUGAGGGAAACUGGGGGUGUGAGCCGGGGGACAUUGAGAUUGGACAAGGUGCUGGGGAGAAGUGGCUAGACAAUGAGACUGGAGACAGAAGGGAGGACAGGGAUCCAGGAAGGGGGUAGGAAGGACUGAGAUUACCUUAAGAGCUGAGGGAGGGAGAUUAUAACUGGGAGCUAGAGGCAGGAUUGGGGAGAAACAGAUUGGAUGAGGAGUUGGGGAGGGGGAACUAGGACUAGCCAGGCAAGGAGACUUGAACUCAAUGUGAGAAGGGGGAGAUUGGGACUCAGACACAGAGCACAGAGGACUGGCUGGGCAUGGAGCCUGAGACUGGGAUGAGGAUCCUGAUGAUUGGAGAGGCAGGGAUCCAGGCAUGGACAAGAGACAAGACUGUGACAGGUUGGAGAAGAAUGGAGGAGAAGUGAUCAUGAUUGUGGGAGAAUGAGCAGAAGAGUCUGUGCCCACUAGAGCACUCUCCCCUCCUGAGCCUGGAAUAGAAUUCAAGGAUUCCUGACUCUCAUCAUUCCUCUGCUGUCAGCAAAUAGUCUUGAAACUCAAUGGCAUCUCAUCCCCAGCAAAUGCAGAGGAUGACAACCUGCUACUGCUACCAGUCACUCUGUUAGCUCAAGUGACAGAGGUCUGUGCGGUGGAUCUAAAGGUUCCAUACCUGCUGCUGAUGAAUGUGUGCAUCAAUAUGAUGCUACCUGAGGGAAUUUCAGGUUUUUUAGAUUGCUUUUUUUAAAGAACUAGGAAAUUAUGGACAUGCACGCACAAUGAGGCAACCUUAAUUCUGGCAUUUCCUAACUUCUGAGCACUUGAAUUUGCAACUUUCAUAUUGCUCUUUUAAUAUC